GCUACUAUGGCGCAGCAGGUAGCGCACGUCAUUGGUAAUGACGAGGUCAUCAGUUCGAAUCUGAUUAGUAGCUCCA
rnacentral:tRNA from 1 species